UACGAAGGGGGCUAGCGUUGCUCGGAAUCACUGGGCGUAAAGGGUGCGUAGGCGGGUUUUUAAGUCAGAGGUGAAAUCCUGGAGCUCAACUCCAGAACUGCCUUUGAUACUGAGAAUCUUGAGUAUGGGAGAGGUGAGUGGAACUGCGAGUGUAGAGGUGAAAUUCGUAGAUAUUCGCAAGAACACCAGUGGCGAAGGCGGCUCACUGGCCCAUAACUGACGCUGAGGAGCGAAAGCAUGGGGAGCGAACAGG
rnacentral:rRNA from 1 species